GACGAACGCUGGCGGCGUGCCUAAUACAUGCAAGUCGAGCGAGCGGAACCAGCAGAUCUGCUUCGGCAGUGACGCUGGGAAAGCGAGCGGCGGAUGGGUGAGUAACACGUGGGGAACCUGCCCCAGAGUCUGGGAUACCACUUGGAAACAGGUGCUAAUACCGGAUAAGAAAGCAGAUCGCAUGAUCAGCUUUUAAAAGGCGGCGUAAGCUGUCGCUCAGGGAUGGCCCCGCGGUGCAUUAGCUAGUUGGCAAGGUAACGGCCUACCAAGGCAAUGAUGCAUAGCCGAGUUGAGAGACUGAUCGGCCACAUUGGGACUGAGACACGGCCCAAACUCCUACGGGAGGCAGCAGUAGGGAAUCUUCCACAAUGGACGCAAGUCUGAUGGAGCAACGCCGCGUGAGUGAAGAAGGUUUCCGGAUCGUAAAGCUCUGUUGUUGGUGAAGAAGGAUAGAGGUAGUAACUGGCCUUUAU
rnacentral:rRNA from 1 species